rnacentral:rRNA from 1 species
UACAGAGGUCCCAAGCGUUGUUCGGAUUCAUUGGGCGUAAAGGGUGCGUAGGUGGCGCCGUAAGUCGGGUGUGAAAUUUCGGAGCUUAACUCCGAAACUGCAUUCGAUACUGCGGUGCUUGAGGACUGGAGAGGAGACUGGAAUUCAUGGUGUAGCAGUGAAAUGCGUAGAGAUCAUGAGGAAGACCAGUGGCGAAGGCGGGUCUCUGGACAGUUCCUGACACUGAGGCACGAAGGCCAGGGGGGAGCAAACGGG